UCCUAAUGACGGUACCUGAAGAAUAAGCCCCGGCUAAUUACGUGCCAGCAGCCGCGGUAAUACGUAGGGUGCAAGCGUUAAUCGGAAUUACUGGGCGUAAAGCGUGCGCAGGCGGUUUUGUAAGUCUGACGUGAAAUCCCCGGGCUCAACCUGGGAAUUGCGUUGGAGACUGCAAGGCUAGAAUCUGGCAGAGGGGGGUAGAAUUCCACGUGUAGCAGUGAAAUGCGUAGAGAUGUGGAGGAACACCGAUGGCGAAGGCAGCCCCCUGGGUCAAGAUUGACGUUCAUGCACGAAAGCGUGGGGAGCAAACAGGAUUAGAUACCCUGGUAGUCCACGCCCUA
rnacentral:rRNA from 1 species